UGAUAAGUCAGUUAAGCCAACGUUAAUAAUAAUUUUUAAAAGUGUUAUUAUUCAAAUAAUAAAUUAAAAUAUUAAUUUUAAGCAGCACAUGGAGAACGGUUAUGCAAUGAAACAAAUUAUAAAGAAGUAGAACAGUAUUUUUUGCAUGACAUCACACCGUGACCAUUCUCCGACAAAAGUCAAAAGUUAGUUUCGAUGCUUUUUCAAAGAAUGACUGGGUGUCGACGGAAUGUUGGUAUCGAUGGUAUCAGUAGCCUCGGAGAUAUGGAGUCUGUAGAUAAAGUAGAAACAAAUUCAAAAUGUGGACUAGUGCAUUG